rnacentral:tRNA from 2 species
GUCUCCGUGGCUCAAUUGGACAGAGCAUUUCCUUGCGGAGGAAAAGAUUGGAGGUUCGAGCCCUCCCGGAGACA